GAUACUCACCAUUUGUGCUAGUCUGCAUCGAUAGGUUCACUUCCUUAGAUUUUAGCUACACAAAUAGCCUAUCAAAGGACAUGAGGGAUAAGUCUAUACUUGAAAGUGUGAGUGUUGAUAAGUCUAGAAAGUUCUUGAAAGAACCUAUAACUUGAUUUUUCGCAAGGUAUAAAAUUGAAAGUAUAGGCUCUCUAGCCUCAAGUA
rnacentral:lncRNA from 1 species